AUUGAACGCUGGCGGCAGGCCUAACACAUGCAAGUCGAGCGAGCGGCGGACGGGUGAGUUAUGUCUGGGAAACUGCCUGAUGGAGGGGGAUAACUACUGGAAACGGUAGCUAAUACCGCAUUCCAUCAGAUGUGCCCAGAUGGGAUUAGCUAGUAGGUGGGGUAACGGGUCACCAAGGCGACGAUCCCGAGCUGGUCUGAGAGGAUGACAAGCAAAGAGGGAACUGAGACAAGGGCCAGACUCCUACGGGAGGCAGCGGUGGGGAAUAUUGCACAAUGGGCGCAAGCCUGAUGCAGCCAUGCCGCGUGUAUGAAGAAGGCCUUAGGGUUGUACAGUACGUGCAGCGGGGAGGCGUUACCCGAAGAAGAAGCACCGGCUAACUCCGUGCCAGCAGCCGCGGUAAUAC
rnacentral:rRNA from 1 species